rnacentral:rRNA from 1 species
AUAAUGGGUCAGCGACUUAUAUUCUGUAGCAAGGUUAACCGAAUAGGGGAGCCGAAGGGAAACCGAGUCUUAACUGGGCGUUAAGUUGCAGGGUAUAGACCCGAAACCCGGUGAUCUAGCCAUGGGCAGGUUGAAGGUUGGGUAACACUAACUGGAGGACCGAACCGACUAAUGUUGAAAAAUUAGCGGAUGACUUGUGGCUGGGGGUGAAAGGCCAAUCAAACCGGGAGAUAGCUGGUUCUCCCCGAAAGCUAUUUAGGUAGCGCCUCGUGAAUUCAUCUCCGGGGGUAGAGCACUGUUUCGGCAAGGGGGUCAUCCCGACUUACCAACCCGAUGCAAACUGCGAAUACCGGAGAAUGUUAUCACGGGAGACACACGGCGGGUGCUAACGUCCGUCGUGAAGAGGGAAACAACCCAGACCGCCAGCUAAGGUCCCAAAGUCAUGGUUAAGUGGGAAACGAUGUGGGAAGGCCCAGACAGCCAGGAUGUUGGCUUAGAAGCAGCCAUCAUUUAAAGAAAGCGUAAUAGCUCACUGGUCGAGUCGGCCUGCGCGGAAGAUGUAACGGGGCUAAACCAUGCACCGAAGCUGCGGCAGCGACGCUGAUGCGUUGUUGGGUAGGGGAGCGUUCUGUAAGCCUGUGAAGGUGUGCUGUGAGGCAUGCUGGAGGUAUCAGAAGUGCGAAUGCUGACAUAAGUAACGAUAAAGCGGGUGAAAAGCCCGCUCGCCGGAAGACCAAGGGUUCCUGUCCAACGUUAAUCGGGGCAGGGUGAGUCGACCCCUAAGGCGAGGCCGAAAGGCGUAGUCGAUGGGAAACAGGUUAAUAUUCCUGUACUUGGUGUUACUGCGAAGGGGGGACGGAGAAGGCUAUGUUGGCCGGGCGACGGUUGUCCCGGUUUAAGCGUGUAGGCUGGUUUUCCAGGCAAAUCCGGAAAAUCAAGGCUGAGGCGUGAUGACGAGGCACUACGGUGCUGAAGCAACAAAUGCCCUGCUUCCAGGAAAAGCCUCUAAGCAUCAGGUAACAUCAAAUCGUACCCCAAACCGACACAGGUGGUCAGGUAGAGAAUACCAAGGCGCUUGAGAGAACUCGGGUGAAGGAACUAGGCAAAAUGGUGCCGUAACUUCGGGAGAAGGCACGCUGAUAUGUAGGUGAAGUCCCUCGCGGAUGGAGCUGAAAUCAGUCGAAGAUACCAGCUGGCUGCAACUGUUUAUUAAAAACACAGCACUGUGCAAACACGAAAGUGGACGUAUACGGUGUGACGCCUGCCCGGUGCCGGAAGGUUAAUUGAUGGGGUCAGCGCAAGCGAAGCUCUUGAUCGAAGCCCCGGUAAACGGCGGCCGUAACUAUAACGGUCCUAAGGUAGCGAAAUUCCUUGUCGGGUAAGUUCCGACCUGCACGAAUGGCGUAAUGAUGGCCAGGCUGUCUCCACCCGAGACUCAGUGAAAUUGAACUCGCUGUGAAGAUGCAGUGUACCCGCGGCAAGACGGAAAGACCCCGUGAACCUUUACUAUAGCUUGACACUGAACAUUGAGCCUUGAUGUGUAGGAUAGGUGGGAGGCUUUGAAGUGUGGACGCCAGUCUGCAUGGAGCCGGCCUUGAAAUACCACCCUUUAAUGUUUGAUGUUCUAACGUUGACCCGUGAUCCGGGUUGCGGACAGUGUCUGGUGGGUAGUUUGACUGGGGCGGUCUCCUCCUAAAGAGUAACGGAGGAGCACGAAGGUUGGCUAAUCCUGGUCGGACAUCAGGAGGUUAGUGCAAUGGCAUAAGCCAGCUUGACUGCGAGCGUGACGGCGCGAGCAGGUGCGAAAGCAGGUCAUAGUGAUCCGGUGGUUCUGAAUGGAAGGGCCAUCGCUCAACGGAUAAAAGGUACUCCGGGGAUAACAGGCUGAUACCGCCCAAGAGUUCAUAUCGACGGCGGUGUUUGGCACCUCGAUGUCGGCUCAUCACAUCCUGGGGCUGAAGUAGGUCCCAAGGGUAUGGCUGUUCGCCAUUUAAAGUGGUACGCGAGCUGGGUUUAGAACGUCGUGAGACAGUUCGGUCCCUAUCUGCCGUGGGCGCUGGAGAACUGAGGGGGGCUGCUCCUAG